rnacentral:rRNA from 1 species
AUUGAACGCUGGCGGCAUGCUUUACACAUGCAAGUCGAACGGUAACAGGCCGCAAGGUGCUGACGAGUGGCGAACGGGUGAGUAAUGCAUCGGAACGUGCCCAGUCGUGGGGGAUAACGCAGCGAAAGCUGUGCUAAUACCGCAUACGAUCUAUGGAUGAAAGCGGGGGACCGUAAGGCCUCGCGCGAUUGGAGCGGCCGAUGUCAGAUUAGGUAGUUGGUGGGGUAAAGGCUCACCAAGCCAACGAUCUGUAGCUGGUCUGAGAGGACGACCAGCCACACUGGGACUGGGACACGGCCCAGACUCCUACGGGAGGCAGCAGUGGGGAAUUUUGGACAAUGGGCGCAAGCCUGAUCCAGCAAUGCCGCGUGCAGGAAGAAGGCCUUCGGGGUGUAAACUGCUUUUGUACGGAACGAAAAGGUUUGGGUUAAUACCCUGGGCCGAUGACGGUACCGUAAGAAUAAGCACCGGCUAACUACGUGCCAGCAGCCGCAGUAA